rnacentral:rRNA from 1 species
AAAUUGAAGAGUUUGAUCAUGGCUCAGAUUGAACGCUGGCGGCAGGCCUAACACAUGCAAGUCGAACGGUAACAGGAAGCAGCUUGCUGCUUUGCUGACGAGUGGCGGACGGGUGAGUAAUGUCUGGGAAACUGCCUGAUGGAGGGGGAUAACUACUGGAAACGGUGGCUAAUACCGCAUAACGUCGCAAGACCAAAGAGGGGGACCUUCGGGCCUCUUGCCAUCAGAUGUGCCCAGAUGGGAUUAGCUUGUUGGUGAGGUAACGGCUCACCAAGGCGACGAUCCCUAGCUGGUCUGAGAGGAUGACCAGCCACACUGGAACUGAGACACGGUCCAGACUCCUACGGGAGGCAGCAGUGGGGAAUAUUGCACAAUGGGCGCAAGCCUGAUGCAGCCAUGCCGCGUGUAUGAAGAAGGCCUUCGGGUUGUAAAGUACUUUCAGCGGGGAGGAAGGUGUUGUGGUUAAUAACCGCAGCAAUUGACGUUACCCGCAGAAGAAGCACCGGCUAACUCCGUGCCAGCAGCCGCGGUAAUACGGAGGGUGCAAGCGUUAAUCGGAAUUACUGGGCGUAAAGCGCACGCAGGCGGUCUGUCAAGUCGGAUGUGAAAUCCCCGGGCUCAACCUGGGAACUGCAUUCGAAACUGGCAGGCUUGAGUCUUGUAGAGGGGGGUAGAAUUCCAGGUGUAGCGGUGAAAUGCGUAGAGAUCUGGAGGAAUACCGGUGGCGAAGGCGGCCCCCUGGACAAAGACUGACGCUCAGGUGCGAAAGCGUGGGGAGCAAACAGGAUUAGAUACCCUGGUAGUCCACGCCGUAAACGAUGUCUACUUGGAGGUUGUGCCCUUGAGGCGUGGCUUCCGGAGCUAACGCGUUAAGUAGACCGCCUGGGGAGUACGGCCGCAAGGUUAAAACUCAAAUGAAUUGACGGGGGCCCGCACAAGCGGUGGAGCAUGUGGUUUAAUUCGAUGCAACGCGAAGAACCUUACCUGGUCUUGACAUCCACAGAAGAAUCCAGAGAUGGAUUUGUGCCUUCGGGAACUGUGAGACAGGUGCUGCAUGGCUGUCGUCAGCUCGUGUUGUGAAAUGUUGGGUUAAGUCCCGCAACGAGCGCAACCCUUAUCCUUUGUUGCCAGCG